AAUAUUGCAAUUGACUGUGCGACGAUACGCCAUCCGUCACAACAAAUAUUUUCCCCAAUCUAAACCCUAAACCCACCCAACUCCAACUCCGCGGUUUCACGUUCGCCGAUUUCACGAACUCCCUCAUCUUCCCGUCUCCCCACUUCCAUGUCUUCCACUCCCAAACGCUUGCCUAAUCCAUUACUUCGCUGAUUCAACCACCACUACCGGCAUCGCCUUCUUCUCCCGUUCAGCUGCACGCGACCCCGAAGCCUCCGCCACUCAAUCCUUGCCACUGCGGCCGCACCUCCGCCAUUCCUCUAUCAAUCGCCGCUCUUCUCCGGUGCCUCCGACCAUUGUCCGCUGCCAAGUUUCAGCUGUGAGACGCCACUCUUCGAAAUUUCAUCUUCAUUGGUUGAGCCAACUGCGGGAGAGCCUGAGGUUCGGGUGUUCAUUUCGGACGGUGACGAUACUUGAGGCCAUAGGAUCUAUACUCAUCUCCUGCCUCGGUGAUUACACCAAAAAAGUGUGGCCAAAAUAUGUUGCAGUAUCAGGAAAAGGGACAGAGAGCAUUUGAGGAUAUGUUGUAGUAUCAUCAGGAAAAAGGCACUAUAAGCUUUGUAGAUAAGGAACUAAAGACGUUGGUGUGCUCAUUGUCUUGGAUUUGCAGCCUCAACAACACUAUGAAUCCAUUUCAUAUUUAAAAUGUUUUGUCUCUAGAAGGGAAUCCCCUUGGCAAGAUAAUGGUGUCUCAAAAAUGGAGUUUUGCCUAAACUUAAAAAGCUGGAGCAAGAGCUGCUGAAUCUCAAAAGAUUUGCGGGUUCGGAGGAGCUAUCUAAGGUUCAAUUGCAAAUGCAUAAACAGGCCAAGAGAUAUCAGGGAUUGGCAGUUCCUGUCUGCGAUCGAAUGAAGCUAAGCAAUUCGAAUGAGGCCGCUACCAACUUGGAGUUUCAAACGCAAUGGCAAACUAAGUUCUUGCUUGAAUGGUAAUGAAAAACUUAUAGCCAUUUAUGCUUACAAUCCCUUUUCUAGUUGAGUUGACGCAGACAGGCGGCUCGCAAUUUUUUAUGGAGUCACCGCAAAUGCUGGUAUUUCUUUAUUUAUUUGUUGACAUUGAUUAAUAAUUUUUUCAAAUUUAAUUAUUAAUUUUAUUUA